UCCUCCCAAGCAGGUGUCCACAGGAGCAGAACAGCCCAUGCAGCAACAUCUGGGCUGCCUUCAACAUCUGGGUUGGCAAAGCAGAGGAAACUCCAAAAAACAGACAGAGUUCCAAACACAGGUGUUAGUUCCCAUCCUCCUGGAAGAAUCUUCCUUUGAUUUGUCAAGGUUGAGUGAAACCAGACCCCUGGAAACCAAUGAUCUCCUCUGAGGAGGACCCAGGGCUUCACCUCACAGGGCAGGUCCUUGGCCACACUGAGGCAUGUCUGAGGUCCAGAAGGAGAGUGGAGGAAUUGGCCAGAGCAGGAGUGUGGAGAGAGACCCCCAGUGCCUCUGGAGGUGCAGGGCCAGGAGCUGCCCCGAGGGAAAGAUCCCUGGAGAAGCAUCCCUGCCCAUCCCUGCCCAUCCCUGUCCCUCCCUGUCCCUCCCUGUCCAUCCCUGUCCAUCCCAUCCUCAUCCCUGUCCAUCCCUGUCC